rnacentral:rRNA from 1 species
AUUGAACGCUGGCGGCAUGCUUUACACAUGCAAGUCGAACGGUAACAGGGUGCUUGCACCGCUGACGAGUGGCGAACGGGUGAGUAAUGCGUCGGAACGCACCGAGUAAUGGGGAUAACGCAGCGAAAGCUGUGCUAAUACCGCAUACGCUCUGAGGAGGAAAGCGGGGGACCUUCGGGCCUCGCGUUAUUCGAGCGGCCGACGUCUGAUUAGCUAGUAGGUGAGGUAAGAGCUCACCUAGGCGACGAUCAGUAGCGGGUCUGAGAGGAUGAUCCGCAACACUGGGACUGGGACACGGCCCAGACUCCUACGGGAGGCAGCAGUGGGGAAUUUUGGACAAUGGGCGCAAGCCUGAUCCAGCCAUGCCGCGUGUCUGAAGAAGGCCUUCGGGUUGUAAAGGACUUUUGUCAGGGAGGAAAUCCUUAGCGCUAAUACCGCUGAGGGAUGACAGUACCUGAAGAAUAAGCACCGGCUAACUACGUGCCAGCCGCCGCCGUAA